CCGAAACCUUCAGUAUAUUGCCACUGCUCUGAUUCACUCCAUCCACCUGUUGCUGCGGAAAGGAAAAUAAUACCACAUCGAAUACGUAAGGCGCAUCCGGUCUGGAUCUGACUAGAUGAUCGUCGAUGGUGAUCUAAUGGUCGCUUUGAUUGACGCUCGUCGACGAGUUUUCUGGAAAACGAGCGAUACAUUAGUGGCUACACGGGUCGGUUGAUAUCACUAGGGAUGAAUAAAAUGGCUACGCUCUUGCCAUACACAUGCAACAUCAUGUCCUCAGCAGCGGAACUGUUCGGGAACGACGAGCCGCUUCUAGAUGCAGCCAUUGUGGUCACGAAGGGAAAAUGGCGAUCGAGUAGGAUCCGUUCGACAGGGGCUGAAAUGAGUACUUAUGCAGCCGUUCUACGUGUCUUGAUCUUCUAACGCAUCGGCUUCAACUUCUAAGUAAAAUGUCCGUACAAUAAAUGAUACCGAAGCAUCAUCAAUAGAGACGAAGCUGUGGAAUCUAUGCGCAAUGGGCCGUUUCUUCUAAUUCCGUCACACUCAAUCCUUGGGGUGUGACUAACCCACGCGCUUCCUGGAUCUCCGGUCCUCGGUGCAUUUAAUUAAUAUACCGGGCGACAAAAUUAUCAUCUA